rnacentral:rRNA from 1 species
AUUGAACGCUGGCGGCAUGCCUUACACAUGCAAGUCGAACGGCAGCACGGGAGCUUGCUCCUGGUGGCGAGUGGCGAACGGGUGAGUAAAGCAUCGGAACGUGCCCUGAAGUGGGGGAUAACGUAGCGAAAGUUACGCUAAUACCGCAUAUUCUGUGAGCAGGAAAGCAGGGGAUCUUCGGACCUUGUGCUUUAGGAGCGGCCGAUGUCGGAUUAGCUAGUUGGUGAGGUAAAGGCUCACCAAGGCGACGAUCCGUAGCGGGUCUGAGAGGAUGAUCCGCCACACUGGGACUGAGACACGGCCCAGACUCCUACGGGAGGCAGCAGUGGGGAAUUUUGGACAAUGGGCGCAAGCCUGAUCCAGCCAUGCCGCGUGAGUGAAGAAGGCC